rnacentral:rRNA from 1 species
GCCUACGAUCAUACUACGUUGAAAGCACCGCAUCCCGUCAGAUCUGCGAAGUUAAGCAACGUUAGGCCGGCUUAGUACUAUGGUUGGUGACAACAUGGGAACAGUCGGUGUCGUAGGUA